GACGAACGCUGGCGGCGUGCCUAAUACAUGCAAGUAGAACGCUGAAGAGAGGAGCUUGCUCUUCUUGGAUGAGUUGCGAACGGGUGAGUAACGCGUAGGUAACCUGCCUGGUAGCGGGGGAUAACUAUUGGAAACGAUAGCUAAUACCGCAUAAAUUGGAUUAUCGCAUGAUAAUCCAUUGAAAGGUGCAAAUGCAUCACUACCAGAUGGACCUGCGUUGUAUUAGCUAGUUGGUGGGGUAACGGCUCACCAAGGCGACGAUACAUAGCCGACCUGAGAGGGUGAUCGGCCACACUGGGACUGAGACACGGCCCAGACUCCUACGGGAGGCAGCAGUAGGGAAUCUUCGGCAAUGGACGGAAGUCUGACCGAGCAACGCCGCGUGAGUGAAGAAGGUUUUCGGAUCGUAAAGCUCUGUUGUAAGAGAAGAACGAGUGUGAGAGUGGAAAGUUCACACUGUGACGGUAUCUUACCAGAAAGGGACGGCUAACUACGUG
rnacentral:rRNA from 1 species